rnacentral:SRP_RNA from 1 species
GCCAGGCGUGGUGGCGCAUGCCUGUAAUUCUAGCUACUCGGGAGGCUGAGGCAUGAGAAUCGCUUGAAUCUGGGAGGUGGAGGUUGCAGUGAGCCGAGAUCAUGCCACUGCACUCUGCCCUGGGUGACAAAGUGAGACUCUGUCUUAA